rnacentral:lncRNA from 1 species
AAAAAUACCACUGAAAUGACAACACUAAUCGACAGAAAUACAGCGCAAACACACGUAAGAACAUAUAUCACAGAGAAACGCACACACACAUAACAAUAUUUGACAUAACAAUCAAAUUGCAGAACAAAAACGAACAUAUUCCAUCAGCGACAAACGCCAGAGGAUAUAAAAAAUCAGUGACGAACAUGCAAUCUUACUUUUC